UUCAUGGGAGAGCUGCCCACCAAUGCUCCCUUUCCCAAUGGCCCUCACUUGCACAAAUUUUCCUCAUAAUUUUCCCCGCAGCUUGAGGUCCAGCUCUGCCUAUCAGGCCUGCCAGAACCUGUGACCCCAUGUCCUGGCAACGGGAUGCACUUGGAAUGACAUGGACCACUGCUUUCUCCAUUCUUCUGCUUCAAGCACCCUGAUUUCCGUGGUGGAUGAGUCACUGGCUGGCACCUAGGCUGGGAAGAUGGAUGAGCCACCCCCAUGCUGCUGACACAGUCUGAAUACAGACUUCCUGCUCUUACCUAGGUAUGAGAUCAGGAAGAGAAGAUGUGCUUCCUAAGAAAAAGUGACUGGAUUUGUUCUGGGCUUCCUGUGGGAUUCUGGGAGAAAAAUGAAAAGGCUUUGCUGCUUUAUGAGGGUACCCAGGAAGGCUCCAGCUGUGACAAAUUGCAGGGGAACCAUGAGACAUCCCCAUGGGGAGAGUCCCACGUGUCAGGAGGUGUUUGGAGGUGACCCAGGGCAGAAGGCAACCAAGUGGACUUUGACUCCAGGCUUGAGGGGGAUCUAUGAGUUUUGCUUGCACUAAUCUGUGAAUCUUGCUUACAGGGACUGUGGCUGCCAGGCAUCCCUGAACAGAAACUGUGUCCUCUUGAGUUCUCUGGCUGGGAACAGUGAACUCAUCCAUCAGUGAACUCAUCCCUCAUCCAGGCAGGCUCAGGUUCUCAUGGCCUGGCCUAGACUUCCCAAUCACCCCACCGCUCACAGUGAGUCUCCCUGUUACUGGGAGAAAAGAACAAGGGAGCUGCUGCUGGAUGGACUUCAGCUUUGUCUUGAUGUGGAGGAGAGCAGGAAUGCUGUCAAUGCCAGGCAUCAGUCUUUCUGUUGCAGACUCCAGGCAUUAUUGGUUUGGGCCCAGUUCCCCCAAGUUCUUUUCAAACCAAGUGGCUGUGCUGAGGCGACCCUGUGCACAGGUGCCUUGCUCUGCCACCCUCCCUCUUUGGCUGCAUGGCUCCCUGCAUGUCCCACCAGCUGUGCCAAGCUGCCGUCUCCAGCCCCGUGCACAGGGCACCCUGUGAGCACCAGGCUCUGAGCGUGCUGCCUCACAGCCUGCAGUGCAGAGGUGGCCCCAGGGCACUUCCCAGGGAUUUCCCACCCACGGGUGCCACCACCCUUCCGGAAGGAAGCAGUCAGCCUUGUUUUGAGCAGCUGCCUUGCAAAUGCAUCCUCUAGCAUGCAGCUGCCUGAGCCAGGACAAAGCAACCUGUGGCCUCAAGGAGAAAAACACAGCAUUGAAAACUGACAGUGCUGCACACAGAGCAAGUGAUGCUCUCCACUAACUCCUGUGACAAUCACCUUUCUGCUUAUCAGUCUUGGUCAGGAACAUGACCUCUAUAGUUUCUUUUCCUGCCUGCUGUUGUCUUUGCAUCUGCUGCAGAGCAGAAAUUCAAGGAGAUGGAUGCAGACCUUGGUCUGCUUGGUGGAAAUACUUCUAGUGUUUUCAGGUUAGAUAAAGGUCUUUCACUAACAAAUCCUACCUGCUGACCCCAAAGCAUGUGAGAUCCUCUCAGAUUUUUUGCCAGCAUUCCUCGUACGUUUGUGUUGCUUCAAACAGGAAACAAUGCUCUUGGAAAAGCUUCUAGCAGCUCCAGAACGGGUGCCUGGAAACUCAGUGAGCUAGUGCCAAUGCAGAGCUCAGAAGUGCUCUUUCCACAUGUGCUACCUCUUGGAAGCCAAGGAGGGAUUCCUAGGGCCGGGAAGAGAGAGUGUAUGCCACCAUGUGGCAGCAGAUUCCCAAGUGUGGAGCUCAAGAGAGCUUCAGGCAGGCCCAGCUCAUAGCUCAGGCUGAGGAGGGCCUGGCCCUUGCAGGCAGAACUUCAGCAAGGAGCUAUGACUUCUGUGCAUGGGCAGGGAGGUGCUGUACAGGCACCCUGUCCCAUCCCCAAAGACACCAGCCACCCCCUCCGUGAAGGUAAGAUUUAUUCUGCAAUUGAGCAGCCCUGGAAUUUACCAUGGAAGACAAUAUUCAUCUGAGAAUUGUGUUCCAGCACCAAAGACCCAUUAUUCACAGUGACAGCCUGCAGAGCUGAAAAUAAACAAAGAACAAAGUCAAAUCAAGUAGCUUUGGACAGAAACCACCCUGCCUCAAGGCAGAAGACAACUUCUGAGCAAGAGAGACAGCUUCUGAGGAAGAAACUCUUUUGGAAGCACAUUAUCCUACUGAUGCAAAGCUUCUUUCUUUUGUCUCAGAGGCAACCAGAAACCAGCCUGCCAGAAAACUUUGGGCGAGAUGGAGGCUUAAUUUGAUCCAGACUGUUCUUAUCUCCUAUAUUUUCACUGUAAAAAAAAAAAAAAGUUUCUCACAUUUCUGGCCUAAAUGAAGAGAGCCCUAAAUAUCUGAAGUUAAUAUAAAAAGCCCCUGCAUUGUUUGUAGCCUGAAUUUAUGCUGCAAUGAGGCCUCUGAGCUGUCACUCAUAUCAACAGGCUCUUAACUCUAAAGUCAGCAAUGGCCACUCAGGCCUUAGCUUCCCUCACUAUUGCAUGCUGCCUGAGGAUCUGUUUAUCCCCGAGGCUCUGUGCUGCCCUCCUAGACAGCAAAAUGCCUAUUUCUGCCUCCUCAACGGCUCUUCCAGGGUGUUGCACAGUAACUGCUAAUCUAUAAACUGCUGUAUUCUAUAAAUACAGCACUGUCAGCUUAAAACACAUUUUAGUAUAGAGAGGAGUAGCAUGGGGACAACUACCGAGUUGGGUUACUUGGGUUUCUCAUACUCUUAACUGCUACACUGUAAUUUGGAGGUGGGAAUGAAGCUAUUGACAAUUCUGAGGUCUUUUGCCAUAGACAUCCAGGUAGUCCAAAGCACCCUGUUCCCAAAAAACUUGGAGUAAACUUCUCCUGAGCAUCUGGAUCCGUGCAAGCUACUGCUAUAUCAAGGUUUAUCUUGGUUGCUGGGCCCUGAUCACACCAGGUGUUUUCCAAAAUCUCCUAUUCUUUGCUUUUCAGAGGAAAUGUGUCUAAGAGGCUAGACCAUGCUGGCAGACCUCCAAGCCCUUGUGCUGAUUUGCCCUGGUGGAGACUCCAACCCACUGUUGCUGUCUGGGAAAACCAGAUCCAUGUGUCCUUGAGAAGAGCACAUUGAAGAUCAGAGUGUGGACUGGGGAAAAAUGGGCCAGAUCUGCCCCUUCUGCUUCCCUCUGUGCUUGUGCAGGGUAGAGCAAAGCAUCGACUCAGAAGGCAGGGCGAGCCUGUGGAAAUCAGAUGCAGCACAGAGGAAGAGGAGGAAGGACAUGGGGUCUUCAGUAUCAGGAUGGAAAUGUGGAACCUCAACUUUCAAAAGUCAUCCAGUUGGGUUUAUAGUCGAACUCAUGCUGGCUGGAGAAAUAGCCCAUCAUACACAGCAACAAACACUCAAAACAAAUCAAAAAGCAUUAAAAAAUAUUGUCCUGCCUGACUGCUCCAGAUGAGUUUUGUAGUGAAUCUGAAGGUGCUUUUUUCCUGGAGUCCUGUGCUCCCAUUAUGCUGCCCACGAGCUGCAUGGGAUCAGGGCUUGGCACCAUGGGUCACCAGAGAUAGUCACCUUAAUCAGCUUAAACCAGAGCUUGACUCAGGCCUCAAACUGUGCCACCCAUCCCAAGGGAAGGUCUCUGAAACAGAGAGUGACCGCCCUGAAAAUUCCUCCUGUGGUCACUUUUGUAAAGUCCUGCUCAGCUCAGAGAAGGCUGGGGAAAGAAGUUAGUGGCAUUCUGUCUCUAAAAAGCAGAAUGUUUCUGCUGUGAUUCAUUUUGUCUCGGGUUUUGGCCUGUUUUGCUAAUUUGUGGGAAGCCAAUUCAGCAGAAUUGGUAACCGGUUGUUUGCAGAUGCCAACUUUGGGAUGGAAGGCUGUUGCCUUCCACCUGGGAGACGUGGGGGAUACUAUUACCAACACAAAUUGGGGCACAGUCAUUUCCUCCAUCAUGUCCUUGGAGAUGUGCAGAGAUGGGCCUCUUGUGUCUGUGGGGCUAGUCUGGCUGGUUUUUUAUUUGUUUCUUUGAAAGAGCAAUAAACACCUUUGGACCGCCCCAUGGAGGACUGAAUUGUAGCACAGUGUCCUCAAUUUGCCUUCUGCUCCCACUGCCUGUUGUCUUCGCUCCGUUGUGGCAUGUGUGAGGAUGGAUAUGUCUGUCCCAAGAAAUUGUCUGCAGUCAUUUUGCAGUCCCUUUGACAUCUGACAGAGCACUUGUGGCCCACAGACCACAGGCUGAGAAGCACUGUGUGGGGUGAUGUGUACUCAGUUGCCUCCCAGGACUCAGGUUCUUUCAAACACAUAAAAAGAAGCAGUUUCUGUCCUGGAAAAGACAUUGCCUUGGGCAGACAAGCAUGGGGGAGGCAAGGACAGGGACACCCCAACCACCCAGCUGGUCCUCCAGCCCAGGGACCUGACUUUCCCAGAGCUACUGUCUGAGCAGCCCAGGUGAAGAUUUGGGGGGGUCCCGCUUGCAGCUGUGCUGUGACAUGGGAUGGGGAUGCUGGCAAAGGGCAGGCAGGUAGGGAG